rnacentral:rRNA from 1 species
UGACCUCGAAUCAGGUAGGACUACCUCUUGGUCAUUUAGAGGAAGUAAAAGUCGUAACAAGGUCUCCGUUGGUGAACCAGCGGAGGGAUCAUUAUCGAGUUAUUCAACUCCCAAACCCUAUGUGAACUUACCACUUGUUGCUUCGGCGCGCGCUUCGGCGCCGCCGAGGACACUUAAACUCUUUGUUUUUAUAAGCAUUUCUGAGUGGCCGAAAGGCAAAAAUACAAAUGAAUCAAAACUUUCAACAACGGAUCUCUUGGUUCUGGCAUCGAUGAAGAACGCAGCGAAAUGCGAUAAGUAAUGUGAAUUGCAGAAUUCAGUGAAUCAUCGAAUCUUUGAACGCACAUUGCGCCCGCCAGCAUUCUGGCGGGCAUGCCUGUUCGAGCGUCAUUUCAACCCUCGAGCCCGACUCUUUUGAGGACGGCUCGGCGUUGGGGGACGGCAGACUCCCCCCGGCAUCUCGCCGGGGACGCCGCCCCCGAAAUCUAGUGGCGGCCCUCCGAGGCGACCUCUGCGUAGUAACUUGUUCUCGCACCGGAAAGCUCAGAGCGGCCACGCCGUAAAACCCCAACUUUUUUCAGGUUGACCUCGAAUCAGGUAGGACUACC